CAUGCAAGUCGAACGGAACUGUUUUGAAAGAUUUCUUCGGAGUGAAUUUGAUUUAGUUUAGUGGCGGACGGGUGAGUAACGCGUGAGUAACCUGCCUUCAAGAGGGGGAUAACAUUCUGAAAAGAAUGCUAAUACCGCAUGACAUAUCGGAACCACAUGAUUCUGAUAUCAAAGAUUUUAUCGCUUGAAGAUGGACUCGCGUCCGAUUAGUUAGUUGGUGAGGUAACGGCUCACCAAGACCGCGAUCGGUAGCCGGACUGAGAGGUUGAACGGCCACAUUGGGACUGAGACACGGCCCAGACUCCUACGGGAGGCAGCAGUGGGGGAUAUUGCGCAAUGGGGGCAACCCUGACGCAGCAACGCCGCGUGAAGGAUGAAGGUUUUCGGAUUGUAAACUUCUUUUAUUAAGGACGAAAAAUGACGGUACUUAAUGAAUAAGCUCCGGCUAACUACGUGCCAGCAGCCGCGGUAAUACGUAGGGAGCAAGCGUUGUCCGGAUUUACUGGGUGUAAAGGGUGCGUAGGCGGCUUUGCAAGUCAGAUGUGAAAUCUAUGGGCUCAACCCAUAAACUGCAUUUGAAACUGUAGAGCUUGAGUGAAGUANAGGCAGGCGGAAUUCCCCGUGUAGCGGUGAAAUGCGUAGAGAUGGGGAGGAACACCAGUGGCGAAGGCGGCCUGCUGGGCUUUAACUGAC
rnacentral:rRNA from 1 species